rnacentral:lncRNA from 1 species
CAAAAAAGGAUACCUAGGGACAAAGAAUCCAGAACUUUUUAUUCUGCUCCAACAACCUUCUGUACUGGGUAGGAUACAUGAGGUUCCAAGUUAAUUCUGGCUGUUAGAGUAUUCUUUCUAUCUUAGAAGUGCUUGAGUUCAAGAUGCCUGUUAUUAAGAGACAUUCGCUUUUCUCCUUUACAUCAAGAGUUUUUGAGAAAAGUUGCCUAAUUAUUUCAAACUUAAAAGAGAUGGUAUCAUGGAAGGGUUAUAAACUAUAGUUCAGUUUCUUAACUGUGAAAAAUGUGCAAAUGAAGGGGCGGUAGGAGGAGUUAGUGACCAAAUAUUCAGUAUCUGUCAAAACCCCAUAGAGAGAGGUACAUGACGCUACGAUUUCCUUAAUAUUACCCCAAAGUCACCAAAAGCAACCAAACAGGCCGGUGCCAAAGCCAGUCCACCCUGAUGUCACUGAACAAAUGGUCAGCUCCUGUUGAAUUCACCUUAAACCCGCUUUUAAUGCCCUGUGGGCACUCCACCAAGGUUUGCAAUUGCAAACCAAACAUUGAUUGCUUGUUGUAUAGGCAAGGCUUGGGGUCACCAGGAAGCAUCACAAUGAAAUUGUUUGCAAAGGCAUGUCUUCCUACAUCAUUUCGUGAUAAAUUGAUAGUAUAAGAGAAUGCUUUAUUGCCAUGAUUUGCUUCUCUUUUUGUCCCAUAGUGCUAAAGUACAAUUGUCCUUUCCUAUGUAUUGCCUACUCCCUAUCUGCUGAAAUUAUGGGCCAAGAUGCAGCAUCUUCUGGGAUUUGUCCUUAAAUAAAAGCAAGCUGAUGACUGGAACAAAGUAAUCACAUACAUUAUGCUGUACGGACUUUAUUAUAUUCAUAAAAUUAGUAAGAGCCAAAAAUAAUUUGCACUGAGAAAAGGCACCGAUAACCUUUUUAUAGAUACAGGACAUGAAAGUCUAAUCAGGCAUGUUUGACUCUUUGAAUGUCAGGGGGCUUUAGUAUGCAUCGUAAUGCGCUCUCUGAGACCUGGCACAGGAACUCAACUUAAAGGCAAGACCUUAAGUAACUAUUCAUUUCCAUUUCAUAUCCUCGCCUGAAUUUAAAAAGCCCUCUGACUCCAGCCAGCCUUUUUUCUAGAUUAACUUGGGUCCCACUGGACUGCUGAAUUUACCAGAAUUUCUAUCUAACUCUGUAACACAUUGUUUGAGAUCAGACACAAAAUGCUGAUGCCCCAAAGGUAUUUCAGUGUCUGGUACAGAGAUUCUAUAUAGUAGAAAUCCAAUAAUUAUUUAUGGAAUUGGGUAAUAAUAAAUAGCUAAUAGUCAUGAGCUUUCUCCAUGUGUCAGGCCUUGCUCUUAGAGCCUUAGCUCAAUCUUAUUUAAUAUUCACAACAACCCUAAGGUUAGCCCCAUUUUAUGAAGAAACUGAGGCCCAGAGGGGUUCCAUAACUUGCCCAAGGUCACACACUUAGAAAGGAAAGGAGCCAGAAUUUGAAUCCAAUGCUAUGUCAAGAGGUGUUUCCAUCAUGGCCUGGAUUGCCAUAAAAGGCUUCUCAUUGCAAAUGAGAGCAUAUCAACUUCAGGGGCGAUGGUUGAUUUAGGUGUGUAUUGUUGCUAAACUGUAUUCAUUGCAUUUUAGUUAGAUGAAAUGUUCCAAAAAGGAGAGGCCUGUUCUCUGCUUUGGCCUCCACUAGUGUAACGUCAGAGGCACUCAGACAUAAAAACACCUUUUUUUCAGAAACAAUGGGCAACUAAAUUAUUUCCUUCUAUUAAGCAGUGAUUUCAAUCUUAUUUUUGUACCUUUAAAUAUAAUUGAAUUUCACCCGCAGCAUUUCCAAAUCAUCUAUUUUUUUUGGAAAAUGAAGUUUUAUUUCUUAAGUGAAUGACAGGUACAUGCAUCAUUUUCCAAAUCUUUCUGUAUUUUAAAUAUUGCAUAAUGCAAUUUUAAUCUGAAGUGCAUUUCAUUAACAUAUAAAUUGCUAAAGCAGACAAUACUUCCUGUGUUAAAUUUCAUUAAAACUUUAUUUAAAAAUGAAUUGAGGGGGCCGGCCCCGUGGCCAAGUGGUUAAAUUCGCGUGCUCAGCUUCAGUGGCCCAGGGUUCCGCCUGUUUGGAUCCUGGGCGCAGACAUGACAUGGCUCAUCAGGCCCUGCUGAGCAUCCCACAUGCCACAACUAGAAGGACCUACAACUGGAAUAUACAACUAUGUACUGGGGGGCUUUGGGGAGAAGAAGAAGAAAAAAAGAUUGACAACAGAUGUUAGCUCAGGUGCCAAUCUUCAAAAAGAAAGGAAGUGAAAAGAAUCCUAAAUCACAGAACUUUAGAACUGAAGUUACUCAGAGAUCCUCUAAUCCAGCUCCUUCAUUAUAAAGACAAAGAAAUAGAAACCUGGAGAGAUUGAUUAAUUUGCCUAGUCAUCACUAUAGAAUAGAGCUCCUAACUCAGUAAUCUUUUCAUCACACAGCGAUGCUUUAUAAAUAAGUUGACAGCAAACUGUAUAUGUAGCACAUAUUUGUAACUGAGGAAAUUAAUUGGCUUUUGGUCGUAAAAUGCCUGCUGUGCUAUGCUAAGCGCUUCCUGCGCAUCGUCUCACUUGACUGUAUGAGGUCGGUACUGUCAGUAUUCCCACUUUACAGCUGAGGAGACUGAGGCUGAGAGAGGGAAGUAACUUGGGUAGCUCAACGCAAUAAAUCCUAGGAAUCCCUGCUUGAGUAUAACCAACGAAGAACAAGGACUUUGUCAGCUUUCUCAAUACUGCUCAGAUACACACAUGGAUAGAACUCACAACAUCUUUGUGUAAAUAAUAUUAAAUAUUAACAACAUAAUGAUUUCCUCCCAUGGCACCAUUUUUACCUGACAGUGUCUCCCUGAGGCAUACGGAGUUAGAAAUUAGCCCAUUUUACAAGGUGGUGAUAAAGAUAUUAAGUGAUUUCUUUGCAGAAAACAAAAAAGAAAAAUAGCAUCCUUUAUCACUAAUGGUCUCUACUCCAAGUUUGGCUUAUUAUGAUCUUUUAUCAUGUAAGUAAUAAAGCAAUAAUUUGAGAUGUUUGCCCCAUAAGAAAGCGUAUUCUAAAAGGUAUUGCAUAUUCUGAUGCUGGCCUGCCUAUUUUUUUCCCUUAAUUGUAACUGACUCCCCCCACUUAUGCCCUAUACUAAAGGCAAGCCACAAUUCCUAUUGAGGCGUUUAUUUCUGUUUUAAAGGUAAGCUUCUCUGUCUACAAAAUUAUGCAUAUUAUGUUUUUAUAAAUUGAGUGUUCUUUCAAAUUGACUUCCAAAUGGGAAUGCCUUUUGGGUUCCAAUCUUUCCUCAACAGCUUGUGAGUGCAGACAAAUUAGAGAAGGAAGGAAGCCAGUUGAGUGGGAAGCAGUCGCUGGGGCUCCUUUUGUACCUUUCCCCAACAUCCCUGGACCAGAAAGGCAAACAAACCAACAGUAUCACAGGUUAUGGCCAUUUUCAGAGGGUCUGCAGGCUACCUAACAGCUUUCUUUCCCCUGAAAAACUUGUGAGGAAUUAGGAGAUCUAGAGAAAGGAGCAAGGUCUGAAGAAUUUUGUGUUGGAGAAAGAAGACUGGGUUUCUGACAGGGUUCGAGCUCCAUUUCUCAAGGAGAUUCUUCUAAUAAUCUCUCCUGGAUAGUGUAAACAUCCCCUGCUUUUCUAAUUCAGAAGAUUAUUUUUCAAGUUAAAGUUAAUAGUUGUGUUUCUUGGCCCUGCUUAAUAUUUCAGGCAAGAAAUAUUUAUUGAUUCGACAGCUUUUGGUCAAAAAGCCUUUUGGUCAAAGACAAUAAGAUCAUAUUUAACGCCUAUUCUUGCUGUAAUUCCCAGAGGCAGCAGGGCAAAUAACAGAGGUAACACCCUUAAUGAGAUGAACACCUUUAAGCCAGGAGGUAAUCUAGGUAGAUCUACGUAUAAAAAUCAAAGGCACCAUUUGUAAGUGUCAUGGGAGGUAAGGGAAAGAGAAAGAUCGUAGUGACUGGCGUAGUCCCGAAAGACUUCAAGAAGGAGGUGAGGCUUGAGUUGGGCUUGAAAAAGAGGAUUUUAAUAACACAGCAGGAGGAAGGCAGAAGACAUGGAGAAUCUGCACAGUGUCUUCAGGGGACCGUGAGGAGGUAGGCUUACAGGCUAGAGCUUCCUACUGGAGCGCAGUUGGUGAUGAGCCUGGCAGUGAGUCUGGAAGCAGCAGGGGAUGCCUUCAACACCAGGCUGGGAUGACUCACUCCAUGGGAAAUGUUUGAACUGGAUGUGACCCAGGGUGCUAAUUCAGAAAGAUUACUCCCCUACCACCCCUCCCCCCAAAUAGAAUAGAAAACAAGUAUGUUCCCUGACCCUUUUAUUUAAGCUACAAUUGAAAAAUGUCUGGCGCUAAAGCAGACAAUUGGAUUUUCCAUGUUCUAAGAGUAUAUAGUCUUUGCACUGUUCUCCUGUACCCGCAGAUAAAGAGUGAAGAAAACAGAUAAAGCUGCAACCAAUUAUGCCUCAGGAUCAUAGGUCCCAAAGUACCUCCACUUUGCUCACUUCCACAUGCUUUUUAAUUCUUGCUUCCAGCCCACUUUUUUGGGCCUUUUUACUGGGGACAAUUUGAGUAUUAGUUAUAUGGUCCUUUGUUUGGUUUUAUAUGAGUUGCAAACCAUAUAAAACCGAAUUAAAGUUUUAACAUUUGGCCUUUAGACAUUGAAAACACAAUGUACAAAUGAACCUAAUUGUGCAAAAAUGUUAUAGAACAACCAAAUGGAUUAGAACUAUUCCACGAGACUUUAAAACAAUAAUUUAUCUAUACCCCAGGACAGUAAGAAAACCAAAAGCUACUUUUCUCAAUCGUGUUGCUAGUGGUGUUGCUGCUAUCAUCUUUAUUCGUGUGUCUGUAUAAUGUGGGAAAAGCAAACGUUGUGGGAUAUUCUAAUUCUACUACUCCCUGUGUCCUUAACGCACAAUGCUUGGUGUUAGAGGAGGAGAUUUAGAUGAAAAACAAACGUUCAGUAAAAGCCCUGUGGUUCUCAAUUCGAAUUGGCAGUGUUUGCGAAUCUAUUUGAAGCAACUGGUAUGAAUUAAAGGUCCUCCUGGAAGAAAAUAGGACCUCAGAAUCAGAACACGCCACGCCUAUCCCCCCAGACCUUAUGUCCGUUAGAAUCGCCCCAAAGAGAGAGACCCAGACCUGAGAAAUCAACUUAGCCACUCAAAGCACCCAACCUUCCUACAUAGAACAUUGGUUUCUCGUUCAGGAAAACUUAGGCAUGUUGACAUGCAAAUCACACAGCAGACAUGUGUUCCAAGGUGACAGAAGAGAAGAACAGAAAUAGUCAAAAAUUUCAGCUCAUGAAAGGAUUUCUCUCCAGAUCAAUCACACAUAGGAAAACUCUAAAAUGACAUACAAUGAAUCUGAGUUAAACAUGCCCAACAAAGCAUUUGUACACACGAACAAAACAAAACCACAUAAGAAAUACACAACUCAAAAGAGAAGUGGACAAGAAACAGAAAAUGAGAAAUUAGACUUGGCAGAAAUUAGGGGAAAAUGGGAGGAAAAGAAAAUUCUCUGAAAAAUAGGCUAAAUGACAAGGUUCAUAAGGGCAACAUAUUUGUCUAAAAAUACUAUAAGGGACACAGAAUAAAGAAAUGGAAGCAUCAAACAGAAGAGAAAUGAAGAAAAGAUGCUGCAAAAGGAUCAGAGAGAAAGUCUAGAUCCCGGGGAGAAACAGAACUGGGGUGGUCAACACUAAGACCUCGCCUCCUGGAACCGACAGAUUUAAAGUAAAGGAAACAACUUCCUGCGAAGCUCCAGACCCCUCUCUGCUCCUCAAAGAAGCCAAUUCACAUACAAUAGAGAAAAAAUCAAUCUACGUCUACACCUCAACAGAACAACAAUGCGGGACAAUACCCUAUAAAAACUCAGUGACAGUCAUCGUGGGCAAGUACUUCAUAGUCACCCAGCUGUCCCUGUGUCAAGGCAGCAGAAAAGAGUGUGGCACACACAACGCUCAGGGAGUCCUGCUUCCAUCUUGAGGAGUUUUUUCAGGAUGAACUCCACCCAACAAGAGAGGACUGAGGAAAUUGGGACUUUUGAACAGCUGGUCAUCAUUGAAUGUAUUUAACUGUAGAUCUAAAGCAGAAAUCUGGAAGGGCCAAGGGGAGAAAAACAGUGUGUCAAU